rnacentral:rRNA from 1 species
GGCGGCGUGCUAAUACAUGCAGUCGAGCGGACCGACGGGAGCUUGCUCCCUUAGGUCAGCGGCGGACGGGUGAGUAACACGUGGGUAACCUGCCUGUAAGACUGGGAUAACUCCGGGAAACCGGGGCUAAUACCGGAUGCUUGAUUGAACCGCAUGGUUCAAUCAUAAAAGGCGGCUUCGGCUGCCGUUUACAGAUGGACCCGCGGCGCAUUAGCUAGUUGGUGAGGUAACGGCUCACCAAGGCGACGAUGCGUAGCCGACCUGAGAGGGUGAUCGGCCACACUGGGACUGAGACACGGCCCAGACUCCUACGGGAGGCAGCAGUAGGGAAUCUUCCGCAAUGGACGAAAGUCUGACGGAGCAACGCCGCGUGAGUGAUGAAGGUUUUCGGAUCGUAAAGCUCUGUUGUUAGGGAAGAACAAGUACCGUUCGAAUAGGGCGGUACCUUGACGGUACCUAACCAGAAAGCCACGGCUAACUACGUGCCAGCAGCCGCGGUAAUACGUAGGUGGCAAGCGUUGUCCGGAAUUAUUGGGCGUAAAGCGCGCGCAGGCGGUUUCUUAAGUCUGAUGUGAAAGCCCCCGGCUCAACCGGGGAGGGUCAUUGGAAACUGGGGAACUUGAGUGCAGAAGAGGAGAGU